rnacentral:rRNA from 1 species
GAUGAACGCUGGCGGCGUGCCUAAUACAUGCAAGUCGAGCGAACGGACGAGACGCUUGCUUCUCUGAUGUUAGCGGCGGACGGGUGAGUCACACGUGUAUACCCUACCUAUAAGUCUGGGAUAACUUCGGGAAACCGGAGCUUAUACCGUAUAAUAUUUUGAACCGCAUGGUUCAAAAGUGAAAGACGGCGUUGCUGUCUCUUAUAGAUGGAUCCGCGCUGCUUUAGGUUGUUGGUAAGGUAACGGCUUACCAAGGCAACGAUGCAUAGCCGACCUGGUAGGGUGGUAGGCCACACUGGAACUGAGACGCGGUCCAGGCUACUACGGGAGGCAGCAGUAGGGAAUCUUCCGCAAUGGGCGAGAGCCUGACGGAGCAACGCCGCGUGAGUGAUGAAGGUCUUCGGAUCGUAAAACUCUGUUAUUAGGGAAGAACAUAUGUGUAAGUAACUGUGCACAUCUUGACGGUACCUAAUCAGAAAGCCACGGCUAACUACGUG